rnacentral:lncRNA from 1 species
UGGUUGGUGUAUUGUAUAGUUCUAGGGAUUGUAUUUCACUCAAAACCCACCAAAUGACUCCUCCCACAAUAUUAUGAUGUUCCCCAAGUUUUGGACUCAAUCCGAUAUCGAUUGGUCCUUGAAAUCGGACAAUUCAGGUUCGUACGAAGUUCGUUCUGAAAUGGGGUGGUUGGUGUAUUGUAUAGUUCUAGAGAUUGUAUUUCACUCAAAACCCAUCAAAUGACUCCUCCCACAAUAUUAUGAUGUUCCCCAAGUUUUGG